GUAUCGUUGCGGUGUGCAAGCCCAAAGGGAUACCGAUACAUGAAAAAUGUCAUGAAAAUACCGCUUCCUGGCUUGUCAACACUUCGAAGAUAUGCCGCAUCUAUUGAAGUUGCUAAGAAAUCAUUUUCUUGAUGAUGGUUUCUAUUGGAAA